rnacentral:rRNA from 1 species
UACGUAGGUGGCGAGCGUUGUCCGGAAUUACUGGGUGUAAAGGGAGCGCAGGCGGGAAGGCAAGUCAGUGGUGGAAUGUAUGGGCUCAACCCAUGAACUGCCAUUGAAACUGUUUUUCUUGAGUGGAGUAGAGGUAAGCGGAAUUCCGAGUGUAGCGGUGAAAUGCGUAGAUGUUCGGAGGAACACCGGUGGCGAAGGCGGCUUACUGGGCUCUAACUGACGCUGAGGCUCGAAAGUGUGGGGAGCAAAC